rnacentral:lncRNA from 10 species
CCGGAAUGCACCUGUGUCCUCUGAACCUGCUCAGGCUGUUUCCCUUGAACUUCCAGAACCAUUGACUCUGCUGAUCCCACAGAACAAGUGGCUCAACAGCUUGCACUGUGGCCUGGACCUGAUGCGGAGCCUUCCCUUGCUCUGCGUCCCACUGGAAACAGAAUCGCACUCUUGUUGGCGGGGACCAGCAGAAGACGGAGACGUUUUUCCAUAACCGGCUGCUGCUGUGGGAGCCGUGGGCUGGGAAUGCAGCCGAGUCUCCUCUGGGGCAUGUGGGUCUCCGAGGCUGGAGUUCUCAGACGGUGUGUGUGCAUGUGUAUGUGCUGUGGAAUCUGUGUGGAGUGUGUAUGUGUGUGAUGUGCUUCUGUGUGAUGUAUGUGUGUGUGGUGUGUGUGUAUGUAUGUGUGAGGUAUGUGUGUUGCGUGUGAUAUGUAUAUGUGUGAUGUAUGUUUGUAUGUGAUGUAUGUGUGUGGUGUGUAUGCAUGUGUGGUGUGUGUAUGUGUGUGUGAUGUGUAUGUGUGUAUGGUGUACGUGUGUGUGUAGUAUAUGUGUGUUUGUGAUAUGUAUUUGUGUGAUGUUUGUGUAUGAUGUGUGUGAUAUGUAUGUGAUAUGUAUGUCUGUGAUGUGUUUGUGUGUGAUGUAUGUAUGGUGUGUAUAUGUGUGAUGUAUGUGUGGUAUGUGAUGUAUGUGUGUGAUGUGUGGUGUGUAUGUGUGUGAUAUGUGUGUGGUGUGUGUACUAUGUGCGUAUGUGUGUGCUAUGUGUAUGUGUGGUGUGUCUAAUUCAUAGUAUGUGUAUGUGUGUGUGGUGUGUGUGAUAUGUGUGUGAUGUGUUUGCAUGUAAUGUGUGGGGUAUGUGAUAUACAUGUAUGUGUGUGGCAUGUGUGAUAUGUGCUUGUGCAUGUGUGCAGUGUGUGGUGUGUGUGUAUGUGAAUGUGUGUGGCGUGUAUGUGUGUGGUAAACAGGUGUAUGUGUGUGAUGUAUGUACACAUGAUAUGUGUAUGUGUGUAUGUGUAUUCAUAUGAUGUGUGUGGUGUGUGUGAAUGUGUGUGAUAUGUGUGUGAUGUGUAUGUGUAUAUGUGUGGUGCGUGUGCAUGUGAUAUGUGUAUAUGUGUGAUGUGUGUGGUGUGCAUAUGUGUGAUAUGUGUAAAUGUGUGAUGUGUAUUUGGUGUGUGCAUGUGGUGUGUGAAUGUGUGUGAUGCGUGGUGUGGUGUGUGAAUGUGUGCGAUGUGUAUGUGGUGUGUGUGAUAUGUGUAUGUGUGGGGUGGUGUGUGUGUGAUGUGUGUGUGGUGUGUGUGAUGUGUGUGUGACGUCUGUGUGGUGUGUGUGUGAUGUGUGUGGUGGUGUGUGUGUGGUGUGUGUGAUAUGUGUAUGUGUGUGGUGUGGUGUGUGUGAUAUGUGUAUAUGUGUGACGUGUGUGUGGUGUGGUGCAUGUGAUAUGUGUAUGUGAUGUGUGUGGUGUGUGUGUG